rnacentral:rRNA from 1 species
UUUACAGCAGUGAGGAAGGUGGAUAUGUUAAUAGCAUAUUCAUUUGACGUUAGCUGCAGAAGAAGCACCGGCUAACUCCGUGCCAGCAGCCGCGGUAAUACGGAGGGUGCGAGCGUUAAUCGGAAUUUACUGGGCGUAAAAGCGCAUGCAGGUGGUUUGUUAAGUCAGAUGUGAAAGCCCGGGGCUCAACCUCGGAAUUGCAUUUGAAACUGGCAAACUAGAGUACUGUAGAGGGGGUAGAAUUUCAGGUGUAGCGGUGAAAUGCGUAGAGAUCUGAAGGAAUACCGGUGGCGAAGGCGGCCCCCUGGACAGAUACUGACACUCAGAUGCGAAAGCGUGGGGAGCAAACAGGAUUAGAUACCCUGGUAG